AUGAGAUCUGUCCCGACAUCAUUGCUCUUGUAUGGAAGAGAAAAAUACCAUUCAAGAAAUGUUGUGAUGGUUAUUGUACAGACUGAACUUACUGGAAUAGUUUUUCAACUGAAACUAGACCUGGUCCCUGUUCAUAAAUAUAGAUGCAGCAAGUCAGCUGUGGACUCAUACUUGUCGCCGUCCUCCCAGGACUGCUUCGAACAAGUAAACCACUAUCAGUAUCAGUUUCAGAUGAUGAGAUGCUUUCGUGUCAAUUUCCUCACAUCAAUCAGACACGUAGUCAAAUUAAAAAUUGAGCAAAUUUGUCAACUGAUUCCCGACACUAUUCUGAAGUAA
rnacentral:rRNA from 1 species